AGAGUUUGAUCCUGGCUCAGAAUCAACGCUGGCGGCGUGCCUAACACAUGCAAGUCGAGCGAGAAAGUGGAGCAAUCCAUGAGUACAGCGGCGCACGGGUGAGUAACACGUGACUAACCUACCCUCGAGUGGGGAAUAACUUCGGGAAACCGAGGCUAAUACCGCAUAACACUUACGAGUCAAAGGAGAAAUCCGCUUGAGGAGGGGGUCGCGGCCGAUUAGUUAGUUGGCAGGGUAAUGGCCUACCAAGACGAUGAUCGGUAUCCGGCCUGAGAGGGCGCACGGACACACUGGAACUGAAACACGGUCCAGACUCCUACGGGAGGCAGCAGUGGGGAAUUUUGCGCAAUGGGGGAAACCCUGACGCAGCAACGCCGCGUGGAGGAUGAAGUCCUUCGGGACGUAAACUCCUUUCGAUCGGGACGAUUAUGACGGUACCGGAAGAAGAAGCCCCGGCUAACUUCGUGCCAGCCGCCGCGGUAAUAC
rnacentral:rRNA from 1 species